UACGGAGGGUGCAAGCGUUAUCCGGAUUCACUGGGUUUAAAGGGUGCGUAGGUGGGCAGUUAAGUCAGUGGUGAAAUCUCCGGGCUCAACCCGGAAACUGCCAUUGAUACUAUCUGUCUUGAAUAUCGUGGAGGUAAGCGGAAUAUGUCAUGUAGCGGUGAAAUGCUUAGAUAUGACAUAGAACACCAAUUGCGAAGGCAGCUUACUACCCGAAUAAUUGACACUGAGGCACGAAAGCGUGGGGAUCAAACAGG
rnacentral:rRNA from 1 species